rnacentral:rRNA from 1 species
GACGAACGCUGGCGGCGUGCUUAACACAUGCAAGUCGAACGGAAAGGCCUUUUCGGAGGUACUCGAGUGGCGAACGGGUGUGUAACACGUGGGUGAUCUGCACUGCACGCUGGGCUAAGCCUGGGCAACUGGGUAUAAUACCGGAUAGGACCGCACUUCCGCGUAAGCGGUGGAAAGCUUUUUCGGUGUAGGAUAAGGCCCCGGCCUAUUAGCUUGUUGGGGGGGUAAGGGCCCCCCAAGGCGGCGAGGGGUCGCCCGACGGAGAGGUUGGACGGCCACAGUGGGACUGGGAGACGGCCCAGACCCCAACGUGAGGCAGCAGGGGGGAAUAGUGCACAAUGGGCGAAAGCCUGAUGCAGCGACGCCGCGUGGGGGAGGACGGCCUUCGGGUUGUAAUCUCCUUUCGCCAAGGACGAGGCGUUUUGUGGCGGUACCUGGAGAAGAAGCACCGGCUAACUACGUU